ACGAGUUUGAUCCUGGCUCAGAUUGAACGCUGGCGGCAUGCCUUACACAUGCAAGUCGAACAGUAACGCGGGGCAACCUGGCGACGAGUGGCGAACGGGUGAGUAAUAUAUCGGAACGUGCCCAGUAGUGGGGGAUAGCCCGGCGAAAGCCGGAUUAAUACCGCAUGAGACCUGAGGGUGAAAGCGGGGGAUCGCAAGACCUCGCGCUAUUGGAGCGGCCGAUAUCAGAUUAGGUAGUUGGUGGGGUAAAGGCCUACCAAGCCGACGAUCUGUAGCUGGUCUGAGAGGACGACCAGCCACACUGGGACUGAGACACGGCCCAGACUCCUACGGGAGGCAGCAGUGGGGAAUUUUGGACAAUGGGCGCAAGCCUGAUCCAGCCAUGCCGCGUGCGGGAAGAAGGCCUUCGGGUUGUAAACCGCUUUUGUCAGGGAAGAAAUCUUCUGGGCUAAUACCUCGGGAGGAUGACGGUACCUGAAGAAUAAGCACCGGCUAACUACGUG
rnacentral:rRNA from 1 species